AUUGAACGCUGGCGGCAUGCCUAACACUUGCCCGUCGAACGAGUGGCGGACUGGUUACUUAUGUCUGGGAAACUGCCUGAUGGCGGGGGAUAACUACUGGAAACGGUUGCUAAUACCGCAUACCAUCGUUUACGCCCAUAUGGGAUUGGCUAGUAGGUGGGGUAACGGCUCACCUAGACGACGAUCCCUAGCUGGUCUGGGUGGAUGACCGGCCACACUGGAACUGAGAGCCGGUCCAGACUCCUACGGGAGGCAGCAGUGGGGAAUAUUGCACAAUGGGCACAAGCAUGAUGCAGCCAGGCCGCGUGUGUGAAGAAGGCCUUCGGGUUGUAAAGUUCUUUCGGUAGCGAGGCGUUAACUACAGAAGAAGCACCGGCUAACUCCGUGCCAGCAGCCGCGGUAAUAC
rnacentral:rRNA from 1 species